rnacentral:misc_RNA from 1 species
AAAGAAAAAACUAUUGAAGAAGUGAAAUCUAUGCUUCUCCUUGGGAUCUAUCUGGCUCUUCAAAUACUGGAUGUAAAAGUCAAUGAUUGUGUCAUUGACAAACGUCUCUGGUUGCAGCAAGUCAACAUCCCUCUUACUAAUGGAAACAGCAUCUGGAUCUCCUUUGGGAUAGACAACUUCUUCAAAAGGCUCAUCAAAGUUGGGAAAAUAGUGUCUCUG